AGGUCAGGUCUACUUUUGGUCAUUCUUCUCUCUGAAAAAUAGAAUAUUGCUCAAAGAAAGAUGCCUAACCGCCGCACCAAUCAUUCGGGGGGAGGCGGGACACUACGAGGUGGGUAGUUUAUUUGGGGUGGAUGCCUCCUAAAGAGUAACGAAGGUAUGCGAAGGUAGGCUCAAGCUAAGAUUCUGCUCGUGAGCGUAAUGGUAUGAGCCUGCCUGACUGUGAGAUCGACUGGUCGAACAGAGAAAAAAGUCGGCCAUAGUGAUCCGGGAGUCCCGUGUGGAAGGGCUCUCACUCUAUAUAUCAAAGGUACACCGGGGAUAAUAGGUUGAUGACUCCCAAGAGCUCUUAUCAAUGGAUUCGUUUGGCACCUGACCAAGUC
rnacentral:ncRNA from 1 species